GACGAACGCUGGCGGCGUGCUUAACACAUGCAAGUCGAGCGGUAAGGCCCUUUCGGGGGUACGACGAGCGGCGAACGGGUGAGUAACACGUGGGUGACCUGCCCUCAGCUCUGGGAUAAGCCUGGGAAACCGGGUCUAAUACUGGAUAUGACUCCAUGACGCAUGUUGUGGGGUGGAAAGCCUUGUGCGGCUGAGGAUGGGCCCGCGGCCUAUCAGCUUGUUGGUGGGGGAUGGCCUACCAAGGCGACGACGGGUAGCCGGCCUGAGAGGGCGACCGGCCACACUGGGACUGAGACACGGCCCAGACUCCUACGGGAGGCAGCAGUGGGGAAUCUUGCGCAAUGGGCGAAAGCCUGACGCAGCGACGCCGCGUGAGGGAUGACGGCCUGGUGUAACU
rnacentral:rRNA from 1 species